rnacentral:rRNA from 1 species
CACAAGCGGUGGAUGAUGUGGAUUAAUUCGAUGCAACGCGAAAACCUUACCUACCCUUGACAUGUCUGGAACCUUGCUGAGAGGCGAGGGUGCCUUCGGGAGCCAGAACACAGGUGCUGCAUGGCUGUCGUCAGCUCGUGUCGUGAGAUGUUGGGUUAAGUCCCGCAACGAGCGCAACCCUUGUCAUUAGUUGCCAUCAUUUAGUUGGGCACUCUAAUGAGACUGCCGGUGACAAACCGGAGGAAGGUGGGGAUGACGUCAAGUCCUCAUGGCCCUUAUGUCCAGGGCUACACACGUGCCACAAUGGGCGAGACAGAGCGACGCGAAGCCGCGAGGUGGAGCAAAUCGCAGAAAAUCGCCCUCAGUUCGGAUUGGAGUCUGAAACCCGGCCCCAUGAAGGUGGAAUCGCUAGUAAUCGCGCAUCAGCAUGGCGCGGUGAAUACGUUCCCGGGCCUU